UUACGGGAGGCAGCAGUGGGGUAUAUUGGACAAUGGGCGAAAGCCUGAUCCAGCCAUGCCGCGUGUGUGAAGAAGGCCUUCGGGUUGUAAAGCACUUUCAGUGGGGAAGAAAGCCUUGGGGCUAAUACCCUCGAGGAAGGACAUCACCCACAGAAGAAGCACCGGCUAACUCCGUGCCAGCAGCCGCGGUAAUACGGAGGGUGCGAGCGUUAAUCGGAAUUACUGGGCGUAAAGCGCGCGUAGGCGGUCUGAUAAGCCGGUUGUGAAAGCCCCGGGCUCAACCUGGGAACGGCAUCCGGAACUGUCAGGCUAGAGUGCAGGAGAGGAAGGUAGAAUUCCCGGUGUAGCGGUGAAAUGCGUAGAGAUCGGGAGGAAUACCAGUGGCGAAGGCGGCCUUCUGGACUGACACUGACGCUGAGGUGCGAAAGCGUGGGUAGCAAACAGGAUUAGAUACCCGGGUAGUC
rnacentral:rRNA from 1 species